UGAGGAAUAUUGGUCAAUGGGCGCAAGCCUGAACCAGCCAUCCCGCGUGCAGGAAGACGGCGCUAUGCGUUGUAAACUGCUUUUCCAGGGAGAGAAACUUGCGCACGUGUUGCGCAAUUGACGGUACCCUGGGAAUAAGCAUCGGCUAACUCCGUGCCAGCAGCCGCGGUAAUACGGAGGAUGCGAGCGUUAUCCGGAUUCAUUGGGCUUAAAGGGUGCGUAGGCGGACUAUUAAGUCAGUGGUGAAAUCCUGCAGCUUAACUGCAGAACUGCCAUUGAGACUGAUAGCCUUACGUUUGGUUAAUGUAGGGGGAAUGUGUGAGGUAGCGGAUAAACGCGUAGAUAUUACACAGAACGCCAGUGGCGGAGGCAGCUUACUGAGCAGACACUGACGCGGAGGCACGAAAGCGUGGGGAUCGAACAG
rnacentral:rRNA from 1 species